rnacentral:snoRNA from 1 species
UAGUUGGGGCGAGUGAGUGGCGGUGCGCGUGGUAGUGGCCGAGUGCGUGGGCGGUUCCUGGAUGGGUGUAUGUGCGUAGUAGGUGUGUGUAUGUUAUCUGUAUGUUAGGGUUGUGUGAAUGAGCCCCUCUGCGCCGCUGUCUUUCCAUUCUCUUACACGUUGAUCUUAUUUGAUCGGGCCGGGAUGUCCGCCGCCUGCCCGGCCUGAAAUGAGAACACCCUCUUCCUGCGAAGCCCUCGGGGGGCGCUGUGCAGGGAAGCAGGUUUACCGAGCAGGCGGUAACGCAUAGUCGGAGAUGAUGAAUUGAUCAGAUAGAUGAGGCUGGGGGCUGGGUGACCCCCUUCCCCCGGCCAGUGCGUAUCGAGGCGAUUCUGAUCCGA